rnacentral:lncRNA from 1 species
GAAAAAAAAUUACAGACAUCAACAAGCUAAUAAAUCAAGAGAGUAUCAAGUCAAAGUCAAGGAAAAUAGUUGGACAGGACAAACAGUAAACUGCUGUCAAGGUGCCCAAUAAUGGGCAUCAAAUAAUCAAUAAUCUUAGUAAUGCAGUCUGAAAGUAGCAUUAGAUUGGGAAAAAUAUAAUUAAAAUAUCAAGGGAUUGAAAGAACAUCAAGAAAGAACAUCAACCUAAAAGACUGCAUUCUCCUUGAUAUCCAGUUCAAGACCAUCCAUCUAAAUUGCCGCAUUCAAUCUACCUCUCAGAAAGCCCACUCAAAGCUACUAGGCAAAACCCAAAAGCCAUGAACGAAGAAGCAUUAGGCCAGUCGAGAAAAUGAAGCAGCACACCUCUAUACAGAGACGAGAGUUUAACAUUCUGAUAUUGCACGCGGAAAGGAUAAAAGAAGCAAGAAACAAAGCAAUUUACAGGGAACCCAUCAACGACAAAAACCCUCUUCUAAGCACAAUUGCCCGCUUCAUGCAAAUAAAACAGAGAGAUUCCAAACUCCAAAGAACUUCCAUAGAAACAAAGACGAAAUCCCAACAAGGUGGGGCUUCAUUUCCGGCCUUUCCUUUCGUGCCGGGGUAAACUCAGCUAAACCUAACAACAUGCCAUGCCAGUCACUUCAAGGCAGUGAGGAAUCAAGUCCAAAAGCUAAGGCAAGGAACUCGACAAACAUGAUAACUGAAUAGACCACUCGAAGAAAAAAAUUCAAUGGCCUGGUACGAACGGCC